UCAGGACGAACGCUGGCGGCGUGCUUAACACAUGCAAGUCGAACGGUAAGGCCCUUCGGGGUACACGAGUGGCGAACGGGUGAGUAACACGUGGGUGAUCUGCCCUGCACUUCGGGAUAAGCUUGGGAAACUGGGUCUAAUACCGGAUAGGACCACGGUCUGCAUGGAUUGUGGUGGAAAGCUUUUGCGGUGUGGGAUGGGCCCGCGGCCUAUCAGCUUGUUGUGGGGUGAUGGCCUACCAAGGCGACGACGGGUAGCCGGCCUGAGAGGGUGUCCGGCCACACUGGGACUGAGAUACGGCCCAGACUCCUACGGGAGGCAGCAGUGGGGAAUAUUGCACAAUGGGCGCAAGCCUGAUGCAGCGACGCCGCGUGGGGGAUGACGGCCUUCGGGUUGCAAACCUCUUUCAGCAGGGACGAAGGGUGACUGACGGUACCUGUAGAAGAAGCACCGGCCAACUACGUG
rnacentral:rRNA from 1 species